rnacentral:rRNA from 1 species
UACGUAGGGGGCAAGCGUUGUCCGGAUUUAUUGGGCGUAAAGAGCGUGUAGGCGGCCAUGCAGGUCCGCUGUGAAAACUCGAGGCUCAAUCUCGAGACGUCGGUGGAAACCGCAUGGCUAGAGUCCGGAAGAGGAGAGUGGAAUUCCCGGUGUAGCGGUGAAAUGCGCAGAUAUCGGGAGGAACACCAAUGGCGAAGGCAGCUUGCUGGGACGGUACUGACGCUGAGACGCGAAAGCGUGGGGGAGCAAACAGG